UUUAUCUUUAAAAAUCAAAAAAAAAAAAAAAAAGAAAGAAAACCCAAAACAGCCAAGAGAGAGCAAUAAAAAAAGAGGGAGUAGUGGAGUUUUAAAUCUUGGUCCCUAAGGGGCAGCAAACAAAAAUCCACACAAAGCAAAUGUGAAAUCCAUAAAGUAUCUGAAAGGAGAAGGAAAUGGUUCAGGAAAUUCAAAAGAAACCAAAGAGAAAAGAGGAGGAAAUAGAUACAGACCAAGAGUCCCAGACUGGCCGCUAAAGGGGCUGGGAGAAUCCCAGGUGGAGAUGGAGGCGUUUUCCGAGAGAGUAAGCCUGCGGUUGUUAGAAGCGGAGGAUGUGGCCUGCAGGGCGCAGCCCACGUGACAGAUGCCAGGUGACCGACAAUGCCUGGCCUAGGAGCUCAGCAGGAAAACUGCUCCUGCCCUACAAGGGCAGACUCCUGCCCAAGAGCCCGGAAGUAGCUCUUAGACAAAUCCCCAAGGACACCCAAGAGUGGAGGGAGGUACAUUCCCGACCGUUGACCGGGUUGUCAGGGUUGCAGUGGGUCAUGGGGCAUCCUGGAUUCAAAGGCAGUAAGUUUCGUGCAUGGAGCAGGAGCAGCGGACGGAGCCUCCCAGCAGCGCUUCAGAGGGGCUGUGAUUCCGUCAGUUUCACAGGCAUCAGUGAGAUAUCACUGCGACCUGCUCCCGUCCCAGAGCCAGGCUCCAUGGUCUUCUCUACCUUUUCCUGGGGACAAUGAAGAAUUCAAUGAAUAUAUGUGGCUUGGUUAUGCUUCUCUGUAAGCACCAGAGAAAGAUGGAGGAAGUCUGUUCUGGAGCUACCGUGCUCCCGCCGUGGGUAAUUAUUGCUUCUAUCUGCAAAACUAAGCAUUUCCUGCUGAUUUUCCACGUUGUUUGGAACAUUUUCCCCUUUGGAGAAAAUGGAAUCUGUGCGCGGAGGGCGGCCAGGCUGCGAACCUUUACUUCUCUUCUGUGUUCUCUCCCUGUGGUGCUGAACUCACCGCGUGCUCCCUGAAGGACCUACUCCUCGUCACAGAUCUUCAGGAGUUAAAUGCAUUUCUUCCCUCGUUACCUGCUACAAAAGUCAAAGUGGUAAGAACAGGCUGUUUUGAGGACUCUCUAGGGAGCGCUCGAAGCGUGGUCCCUAAAGCAGCAGUAGCAGCAUCAGCUGGGAGUGUGUCAGAGCUGCGGAUUUCCGGCACCACCCAGAGCUGCUGGAUUAGCAACUCGAAGGGUGGAGCCGGCAGUCUCGGUUACCAGCCCUCCAGGUGUUCUGACCCUUAGUCAGGGUUGAGCUCCUUGCUCUAGAGGACCGGUCUUCCUCCCUCUCACCCUUACUGCAGCCCAGGGGUCGGUGGGGACAAAUGGCUCUCAGUUCAGAAUAUUUGCUCCGGAAGUCUAGAAAGGUAAUGAAGUUUAGUAGAAAGAGCAUAGGCUGAGAUACACCUGGGUUAAAUUCCGGCUCUGCCCCUUAUUCCCUGCAUGUCUUUGAGCAUAAUGUUAGUAGUAGACAUCAUUCACCACACUGCAAGUCAGUUUCUUUAAUGCUUUCCAGAAAUGGGCUGUCCUGACAACAGAAUGAGCUCAUGGGUGAAAAAGUACCUCGUCCAAAACUUUACCACUUGAGGCUUGUGCACUUCCUCACGUUGUUCAGGCAUCAGCAGUAUUUCCACUAGGAAAACUUGGCACACACCUGUGAUCUCAGCAUUCUGGGAGGUGAAGCCAGGGGGAUCCCAAUUUGAAGCCCCUCCUGGGCAAUUUGGCAAGACUGUCUCAAAAUAAAAAAUAAACAAAGGCCUGGGGACACAGCUCAGUGCAAAGGCCCUGGAUUCAACCCCCAUUAUCACCACCACCAUUGCCACACACACACACACACACACACAUACACACAUACACAUCUUCCUAUAAAAAUAUUUACUGCUCAGAACCAAAUGUAUCUGAAAUAAUAACAUUAGCGUUAGACUUUAGUACAUUAUGGGUUAAAGACAAAUAACAGGCUUUUGUGUGCUGGUCUGGGAAUUUUAUUAGCCAUUUAUUUCUUCAUUAGUCAUGCCUUUAAAAAGCACAAUACAAUUUUCCUAUGGGGAAAUAUAUUCCAAGUUCCCCAAAUGCAAUUUACACAUGACUUUGUGACAUGCUCUGUUCAUUAGAUGUUUCUAAGCAUAUAUUAUAUCUUUAAUGCAAUCCAGAUAGUCAAGCUCAGGGAGCCAGGAGCUUGGAAGCUCCAUAAAAUGAGCAUCUUUCCUCAUACUAAUAAUAUAUUUUGAAACUAAGUAGAAAUCAAAGGAAAGCACAACUGUGAUUUUUGUACUGUUGUUGUUGUUGUUCUGACUGUACCCAUGUGAAAACGAAGAUGUCAUGCUGGAUAUGGUGGCACAUACAUGUAAUCCCACCAUUCCAGAGGCUGAGUCAGGAGGAUUGCUGCAAGUUUGAGGUCAGCCUGGGCUACAUAGUAAGUUCAAGGCCAGUUUACAAGAUGAGUGGUAUUGACUGUUCCUUAUAUGUCUAGAAAUAUGCCCAUUUUUGCUAUUAUUGUUUUUUAAAUGCAAGGGAGUGUUCACCAUCAAAGUCAGGGUAGUGGUUAAUUUUAGGGAGUGAAGUGAACCGGAUGUAAUGACAAGAGGCCACAUUGGACUUUAAAAUGGCUCUUUCCAGAGGAGCCUGGAGGCGCAUGACCUAGUGACAGCUUGGUGGCUUCCAGGAGCAGGUCAGGGCUGCAGGGAAAUGGUGGAUUAUGAAGUGGGAGGAGAACCUAGUGUAAUAACAGACAUUGCAGUAAUGUGAGAGUUAAUACCCUAAUACAGGGUCUGGGUGCCUGGUGUGGGAAUUCUCUGUACUCUCAGAUUUGUGCUAUAACUGGCCUUAAAGCCAGGCUCAGGGCACAUACCUAUAGUCCCAGAACUUUUGGAGGCUGGAAGAGUGCAAGUUCAAAUCCCACCUGGACAACUUACCAAGAACUGUCUUUAAAAAGGGGAUGCCAGUCUGGGGAUGUGGCUUAGCGGUAGAGUUCUUGCCUACCAUGCACAAAGCCCAGAGUUCUAUGCACACAAGGCCCCCACUAUUAUGCACACAAAAAAAUAAAAAUAAAAUAAAAUAAAAAAGGUAAAAUGGCUCUUCAUGUGUUCUGUAAUCUCUCUGGAGGUGCACUAUUGUUUAAUAAUUAUUUUUAACAUGUACCUAUACACUUUACACAGCCUCCUCUAUGUGUUUUUAAUACUGUAAUAAGAUAUUUGAAAUGUGAGUGGACCUAAAGCUAUCCAGCAGUGAGGAUUCCUGCAGUGGAUGCUUGAACCACACUGAAUCCAAGUGGAAGGCCUAACCUGAGAAGAUUUUGAUUCUGAUAGUGAGCAGGAGCCUCUCAAUUACUCAGUGUUAAGAUCUCCUAGAAAGAUUUUCUUUUCUGACAUGCAGGGGCCUGUUCUUUGGAAGUGGAGCCAUGGGAAACAUCCAGAAAGAUGUGGUUAGUUCUUCACCAAACGCUGGGCUGUUCUGAUGUUCUGUGUCUUAAUUCAGAUAUUACUGGGGGAAAAGCCUCUAAGUAUAUCAGUUACUGACUCAUAACCAUACUUUGCUCAAGGUUAUUUCUUCUAAGAUGAAAAUACGUGGCAUUUUUCCCCAAUGGGUGUGUGUAUGUGUGUUGUUUAUUAUUUCUCCAGAACAUCUGUACGUGAGCUCUGGCUGCGGGUUUGAGACUUAAGUUGGCUGCAGCUGUGUACUGGCUGUUAGAUUGCUUUAGCAGACACACCCAGAGUAUGGGUGUGGCUUUGAAAUACCCAGUGUUAUUUUACAAAACCUGCUGUGGUCAAUAGCUGAGCUGAGUCUGGAGGCUGACCUUCUCCUCCUCCUCCUACGAAGUAAUCAGGACUCUUAGUUAACAAGUAGCAGAAUCCAAGUUUAAACACCAAGGAGAUUUAUA
rnacentral:lncRNA from 1 species